rnacentral:lncRNA from 1 species
UAGCAGAGGCGCUAAACCAUCUGGACAAUAAUUAACUGGAUGCUGGGUGAUGCAAUAUGGAGGGACUAACCAGUAGGCAGGAGAGAUGGAAUGAGUGCUGACUACUAAACCAGCCAUCUCAGUGAUGAGGCAAUAGAGAUUGUGUGCACGAGAACGUACAGAAUUCCUGUUUCUACUCCAGAGACGAGGUCUGGCAUGUCUG